rnacentral:rRNA from 1 species
CGCCUCUUGCCCCCCCCAUAAGAGGUCCUGCCUGCCCAGUGACACUUGUUUAACGGCCGCGGAAUCCUAACCGUGCAAAGGUAGCGUAAUCACUUGUCUUGUAAAUUAGGACUUGUAUGAAAGGCACCACGAGGGCCCAACUGUCUCCUUUUUCCAAUCAGUGAAACUAAUCUCCCCGUGAAGAAGCGGGGAUUCUUUUAUAAGACGAGAAGACCCUAUGGAGCUUUAAACUGUAUAGCACACGCACACCCAUUCACUUUCCUGAAAGCUCACCCCCAUUCCGCGCCCUGCUAAAAAGUUUUCGGUUGGGGCGACCCCGGAGAACAGUAAACCCUCCGCAAUGAAUGGACUUUGUCCUAAGAAAAAAGUUACUACUUUACACAUCAGUAACACUGACAUGCAUUGACCCAAUUUUUGAUCAACGAACCAAGUUACCCUAGGGAUAACAGCGCUAUCCACUUCAAAAGUUCCUAUCGACAAGUGGGCUUACGACCUCGAUGUUGGAUCAGGGUAUCCUAGUGGUGCAGCCGCUACUAAAGGUUCGUUUGUUCAACGAUUAAAAC